AUUGAACGCUGGCGGCAGGCCUAACACAUGCAAGUCGAGCGGAUGAAGGGAGCUUGCUCCUGGAUUCAGCGGCGGACGGGUGAGUAAUGCCUAGGAAUCUGCCUGGUAGUGGGGGAUAACGUCCGGAAACGGGCGCUAAUACCGCAUACGUCCUGAGGGAGAAAGUGGGGGAUCUUCGGACCUCACGCUAUCAGAUGAGCCUAGGUUGGAUUAGCUAGUUGGUGGGGUAAAGGCCUACCAAGGCGACGAUCCGUAACUGGUCUGAGAGGAUGAUCAGUCACACUGAAACUGAGACACGGUCCAGACUCCUACGGGAGGCAGCAGUGGGGAAUAUUGGACAAUGGGCGAAAGCCUGAUCCAGCCAUGCCGCGUGUGUGAAGAAGGUCUUCGGAUUGUAAAGCACUUUAAGUUGGGAGGAAGGGCAGUAAGUUAAUACCUUGCUGUUUUGACGUUACCAACAGAAUAAGCACCGGCUAACUUCGUG
rnacentral:rRNA from 1 species